GAUGAACGCUGGCGGCGUGCUUAACACAUGCAAGUCGAACGGAAAGGCUCCUGCUUGCCGGGGUACUCGAGUGGCGAACGGGUGAGUAACACGUGGGUGAUCUGCCCUGCACUUCGGGACAAGCCUGGGAAACUGGGUCUAAUACCGGAUAGGACCACAUUUUGGAUGGUGUGGUGGAAAGUUUUUCGGUGUGGGAUGAGCUCGCGGCCUAUCAGCUUGUUGGUGGGGUAAUGGCCUACCAAGGCGUCGACGGGUAGCCGGCCUGAGAGGGUGUACGGCCACAUUGGGACUGAGAUACGGCCCAGACUCCUACGGGAGGCAGCAGUGGGGAAUAUUGCACAAUGGGCGCAAGCCUGAUGCAGCGACGCCGCGUGGGGGAUGACGGCCUUCGGGUUGUAAACUCCUUUCGCUAGGGACGAAGCGCAAGUGACGGUACCUGGAGAAGAAGCACCGGCUAACUACGUG
rnacentral:rRNA from 1 species